rnacentral:rRNA from 1 species
GAUGAACGCUGGCGGCAUGCCUAACACAUGCAAGUCGAUCGGUAAGGCUCUUCGGAGUACACGAGAGGCGGACGGCUGAGUAACGCGUAGGAACACACCCUGCAGUGAGGGAUAAGACACCGAAAGGUGUUCUAAUACCGCAUACGGUCUUCGGAUUAAAGCAUUUAUGCGCUGAAGGAGUGGCCUGCGUCAUAUUAGAUAGUUGGUGAGGUAAUGGCUCACCAAGUCGAUGAUGUGUAGCUGGUCUGAGAGGAUGAUCAGCCAGACUGGAACUGAGACACGGUCCAGACUCCUACGGGAGGCAGCAGUGAGGAAUAUUUCACAAUGAGCGAAGGUUUGAUGGAGCAAUGCCGCGUGCAGGAUGAAGGCCCUCGGGUUGUAAACUGCUUUUAUAAGAGAAGAUUAUGACGGUAACUUAUGAAUAAGGGACGGCUAACUACGUG